rnacentral:tRNA from 1 species
GUUGUGGCUCAGUGGCAGAGUGCUUGCCUAGCACAUGUGAGGCACUGGGUUCAAACCUCAGCACACA